rnacentral:lncRNA from 1 species
AAAUAUAAACAUGCAGCAUUAAAAAAGCCAAAAAGGGCAUACAUUAAAAAGGCAUGCCCGAAAUUGUUCGACAGUUCCUAGUGUUAAAGGAUUCACAAGUGAAACAUCCAAAAAAGAAAAAAAAAAAAAACCUAAGACUGAAAAAUUACAAAGUCAAGGUUGUUGUUGAGAUGGCGAAGGAGGCUUUCGAUUGGCUGCUUGGAAUUGGUAAUACUGGGUUCGAAUGGACACCAAUUUACGUUGUAGCAUCUCUUUGUCACUAGUAAGAUGCUCAACCCGCUUCUGGACAGCUAGACCAUCACUGUAAUGCUGGAUGCCUUCGCGUGCUAGCUCAUCAAGCUUGACCUUUUGUGCUUCGAUAGCUACUGCAGCUAGUUUUUCCAUCUUAGCCUCUUCCUGUCGAACCUUUUCCUUCAA